AAUAAUAAUCAAUUUACCAUACCUUAAAUAUGAGUAAUUAUUCGUUAAAAUGACGACAGUGGAUUAAGGAAUAAUAUAUAAUGUAACAAUACAGCUAUUUAAAGUCACGAUGAAAAAAUGAAAUCUAUUUUAGUCCUCCGAAUCAUAUUCGCGUUUUUGUUUAUCGUUGAAUUGGCAGUCGGUCUCAAUACUUGUCAAAUGUACUUGGCAUUCCAAGCGCCUGUACUCGUCGCACCUUGCAUUUUGAUUUGAGGGGAAAAUAGGGUCUGUAACGAGUACCGGUCGUCAAUGGGCGGACUACGCCGUUCGCAUAGCAAUUCACGUUUUCGAAACGGAACUUUCUACCGCGUUUCGCGACGAAAGUCGCGUUCGCGUUCUCCGGACAGAGCCGCGAAAAGUUUCGCUAGAUUCGCGGGCGAAAAGAGGAAGAGGUCAACGAAAGUGAUCUCUUUCUCUCUCUCUUUCUCUCUUUCAACUUCCGUGGCGAUCGCUUAUUCCUAUUCCCGUCGCGUUUGUGUCCGACGAAAGCGAUACCGUAAACACAUUCCCCGCUUCACGGCGAGCGGUCGGAAUCUGCUUAUUCACGAAGUUAACAGUCACGACGACGGAGCGGAUGACCUUACCGCUUUUCACUAAAAAAACCCGUGAUGUAACCCACCCGCGGCGCAUAGAAAGUGCCGAAAAGUGUCUCGGGCGACAACGCGACGUAUGCGACGCGACGCAGUUUUACGCCGUCUCCCCUUUGUAGUCUUUAUGGCUUUGGUCUCCCGCGGAACAUUUACUGCGUCGCGCCGCAUCGCAUCGAUCACACGCAGGGAGAGAAAGAGAAGGAUCGUCCAGCUUCGAGGGAGGACUCGAAUCGCGCAAAAAACGCGAGUACCGUGCGUGCGGAGUGUAAAAGGAUCGCGCGCGCGCCCGCUCGCGCACACAUACGCAUUUGCCGGCGUUUACGAGCACCGCAAUGCCGUAAUAAUAACAACGAGCCGCGUCCGUGCGCUCCAUCGCCUACUAAUCCAAAUCUCGAGACCCGCGUCACCCGCGGAUGAGCGGUUCCACCUGCGUUGAUGUACGCGCGCGGUGGAUUAGUCACGCGCGGCCUCCGAGAGUGCGCGAGUCGAAAUAGAACGCUUAGUCAGACGUCACCAGGAAACUGCACUCCUGGGGAGGGGGAGUCACGCCGCGGUCGCAGCCGCAGCCUUACUUUGUUACGCUUUACACGCCUGUGUUCGGCAUCUCUGCUAUCCGCGCGGAUCUGCGCCGUGAGAUCGCCCGAGAUUGUAUCGGGCAGGUUUGAAAUGCUUCAAGCCUGAGGGAACGCCUCUCUAAAUGUCGUGGAAUGGAAAACCGUUCGAAAAUCGCACGAGUUGAAUUUUUCACUCGGAAGAGUUUCACUCUACGGGACGCAAAGGGAGAAUGUAAAUGUCUUUCGAUAAUAACAAUGAUCUGCGCAGGCGUGUUUAUGAGAUAGAAUUGUGAGGAAAAAAAAUUUAAUUUUAUAGAAUAUUUCCUGUUAAUUUAUUAUCGUGAUAAGGGAAAUGACGUAAUUCUUUUGCAAAAUUAUUGUAUUCUAGUUUUUAUAUCAAAUUCUUUGGAUACACAGGGGUAAAAGGAAGUUAAAGAAAUUACACUUAUAAAUUUUAAAUUGGGGAUGUUGCAGAAAACCAUUCUUAUAUAAACUAAACACUUGAUACGUUUUUUAAAAAUUUACACGGUAUAUUUAUUAAGUCUUUCAUUAAACCUAAAAUUUUGUUUUGUAGGAAUAAUUGUUAUUUGUUUUUGUAUAUUUCUGUGUGCAUAUUUAUUUGUCGAGUCACUGUUAUUUAAAAAAAAAAUUUUACAACAGUUCUUUUAAUAGAAAAUGAUUGCCUUUCCGCGCGUGAGGUACGAUUAAAAAUUUGCAAAGAUAUAGUACAGACCUCAUGUUAACGACGUGGUAGCGGCUGCCGCAUGCCACGACGGCUGGCGUGUGUAGGAGCUAGUUUCAGAUCCCAGAUCUUAAAAGGGAAGCGCACCUGGAUCGCUCGAGAUGUUUAUUUGUACCAGCUUCGAUCGCCCAGCGCCGAUCUCGGCGCUCGAUGCACGCUUUAAGCUUCGACCGACUUUGCCUAUAGAGACCUCCAAUGCAAAUCGCAUCUUGGAAUCCAGCGCCCGAAGACUUAAAGUAUCAAUUAGACGGCGUACAAAGCUAUGCCCGAUGCCUAGAGGUACUUAAUCAUACCAAACAAUAAAUCGAUGAUGUGACUGUAUGAAUAAAUCAAAGGGAAUUAAGUAAGAAUACCUGUAUAAACCAAAUGAAGAUUAAUGACACGCAAGUCAAUGUAUUACAUCAUUUUUUUCAGCAAACGCGCUGAAAUAUAAUUGCUUAAGCAUAAUUUACACGGAGCGGCUUUUAUUCAUUUCUUAACAAGCGUCUUAAUUUGUUAGCAAAUUUACUGAUAAAACGCUGAUUUUUUAUUCGCUACAGCGUCUACAAUUUUAAGGUCGCGGCGUCUAUUAAUCGCUGAACAUCUUCAAUUUUAUCGCUCUUGUCAAACGAAUGGUACCAUUGUAAAAAAUCGCUCCGCCACAACCAAACGAUUUUUGACUUUAUUGUUAAUGUCUUUUAUCGCCAGUUUUUGAUUGACAAAAUUCGCUCUGUGCUAAACUAUUUACACGUUGUUGAUAAGCAAAUGAAGUCGCUAACAUUUGUCAUGGCGUCACAGAAUAAUAUAACUCGAGCCGCUAUUGUCGAGCGAAAAAAUUUUAAUUUUAUACUAACUAGUCGUGAAUUAGUCAUUUUUUUAUUUUGUAAUUCUAAUCUUAAUGUUUCGUUCAUUGAAAAAAUGUGCUCAUCAAAGGAUUAAUAUAAAAAGACAAGAGCCUUAAAAAAUGUUUUCUUUCACAAAAAAUAUUUCCAGGAAUAUGCGUAUUAUUGCAUAGAAAAAUAAAAAUUAUUAUUACAUUAAAGAUUAAACUUAUCUAAAAAAGCGACGAGCUGGCGAUAAAAGACACCAGCGACAAGCGUUAAAAGUUGCUCUGUGUAAAUAACGCUUUAAGAUGCAAUAUAAAUAUAUAUAUAAUAAUACACCUUGACAAACUAUAUUUUGCUUAGAGAUAUUAAAGUAAAACAUUAAAGUAAGAAAGAGGUAAAAGUGCGGAAACUAAUGUAAACCAAGUUUCUUCUUGGCAAUGUAAAAAAUGCUGAAAUAAUAAAUUUCUAUUUUACAAUAACAUCUUGGUUUUUCUUCCACAAUAUUCCACCCGUACAAAUCAAUUCGUUCCAAUGAUCUGUUUGCAACUAGAAAAAGACAGUUAAGUUAAAUAGUUUAUAAAUAAGUUAAGCUACAUCGGCGCAACCGAAGAGAGAGAGAUAUUAAUUCCCUCAACCGCUAUUAUUGUUAAAUAAUAAUGGUAAUAGAAACAGACUGUGUUCAGCCAGCUUCAGCCAGUUGUUAUUCACCGAGCGUUUCUGUCCACAACGCUUGAAUACCAUCUCUUGAUUCAAUAUUCGAAUCAGACGUAAUCGACGAGUCCUUGAACAGCGCGUGGGUCGAUAGAUUAUAUUGACGAAGGGGAAGCGCGAGACGGCGCGUAUAAUACCUUCUCGUCGCGAACACACGUACCGUACAUACAUUCGCCUCGCUCGCACGUGCAAAAGCGCGCCUUUACGAGCCACUGUCGUCGCUCGCCCAGCACGCGGUGCAAUCGCGCUGAUACACCGCCUUCGAGAACUAGAUGCGAGACGAGCGAGCGCCGUGAAUUCACGCGUCCCGUAAGCCAGGCGCAUUGUUGCGACGACGAUUGCACGUGGCGUCCGUUCGCGUGUGACGCCGCCGGGGCCCUUGUUCGCUUUCUCUCUAUUCUUGCCUCUUUUCAUUUCUAUCUACGUAUGAUUUAUGCGACAUCGCGUCGUGUCGUUUCGCGUACUUAAAAAAAGGCAUAUCCCCCUCCAUGUGCGCGCGUGUAAGGGCAACGGACGAUCCCGCGAGACGCGCGAGUAAAGUGCAGGAAAAUGUCCAACUCAAAGUCGGUAUCAAGCCAAAUUGAUUUAAUCAUUGCUUAACCAGAUUGCAACCGGUUAAUCGAUAAUUAACGGGAGAAAGUGCAGCCAAGAAAUUCGUUUGCGUGGGCAAUCGAAGUGAGCAGAAAAUGCCAGUUACGUGAGCGCCCGUCGGCCGGCCGGCGGUUUCAUCAACGUCGGUUUAACUUUAAUUUUUACAGUUACGGCCAACACACCGGUGCAGGUAUUAAGGAAUGAGAGAAGGACGCCGGGCGGCCCUCGAUCGGGACUCCACGACACCCACCGAAUUUAUGUCUGUGAACUCCGAUGAACUCCUGAACCCUCGUCGUUUCGACUCCUCGGAGCGACAAUGACGAAAGAAUGGCAUCCCCGGCCGUUCGCGCUCCGACGUGUCGCGCACACGUGUGUGUACGUAUGUAAUACACGUGUGGAACGAUCGCUAACGAUUACGGGGUUACGGGACUUUAGGACAUCGGAUAUCGGUGUCGCUUAAUUCUUUUCAGUUUCGAAUUUCGGAGCCUGCGGACACGAGCGUUGGGUAUUGCGCGAUAUGAAAUAUCUACGUGUCAAGCGAACACACACGAAUUCUGAAAUAUCUAAUAAUAGCUCACGUCGAAAAAUCCUACAAGAUGUGAGAUACACAAAUGUGUAUUCUUCUUUAUACUUCCUAUUAAGCUCAGUCUUGUAUUAGUCACUUUGGGUUUAUAGCGUUAUUCGAAUCCUCGGAUGUCGAAAUCUUUCGGUGUUACAAGCAUCUUGAGGUAGAAGAAAAAAAAAAAAA